CCAGCUAGCCCGGAAUGCUGUCGGUAUCUUGUAGUGAGUCUCCACCGUCCAUGUCUUGUCCUGGGAGAAGAAGCGCACCAGCCUGUCGUGCGCGUGCGUCUCGUUUCCGGCGAGUUCAGAUGAAGACCAUCCUGAUGGCUGCACCCACCUUAUAGUAACAGAAGCACUUCCAGCUUGCUGAUAGUAGUGAUGUACUGCUGUGCUUCCAGUUCUACUUUCAUCAAACUAAAAAGGAGCCUAGGGAGGCUGUCAUGACAGCAGUAGAAUAAGUCCUUUGGAAUCCGUUCUGCCUGGUGGUCAAGCACUUGCCCUUUUGGACUCUGACAAGAGGAACCAAGAGCCUCCCACGAUUCUCCUGGUUUAUUUGUGAACGUUGAUGAUCUUGUGGGCAACAACAAAACAGCACAAAAGUUUAUUUCAAGGGUGCAUAAUAUCCUAAUAAUUUACUUGAAAGUUUCCUGGAGAGAACUACACGCAGUGAUAGAUGCAGCAGACACUUUACUUAAGUGAAAGUAUUAAUACCACACCGUACCAACAGAUUUAUAAGCAGCCCUGCUUUAUAUAUCAGCUAUACUGGUGACCUGUUUUCAUCACUGUAUGUAUGGGAUCUCACCUUAUUUGAACUUUGCUAUUG